rnacentral:rRNA from 1 species
AUUGAACGCUGGCGGCAUGCCUUACACAUGCAAGUCGAGCGCGAAAGGGGGCAACCCCGAGUAGAGCGGCGGACGGGUGAGUAACGCAUCGGAACGUGCCCAGUAGUGGGGGACAACCUCGAGAAAUCGAGGCUAAUACCGCAUACGACCCGCGGGUGAAAGCGGGGGACCGCAAGGCCUCGCGCUAUUGGAGCGGCCGAUGUCCGAUUAGCUAGUUGGCGGGGUAAGAGCCCACCAAGGCGACGAUCGGUAGCUGGUCUGAGAGGACGACCAGCCACACUGGGACUGAGACACGGCCCAGACUCCUACGGGAGGCAGCGAGU